AGUGAACGCUGGCGGUAGGCCUAACACAUGCAAGUCGAACGGCAGCACAGUAAGAGCUUGCUCUUACGGGUGGCGAGUGGCGGACGGGUGAGGAAUACAUCGGAAUCUACUUUUUCGUGGGGGAUAACGUAGGGAAACUUACGCUAAUACCGCAUACGACCUACGGGUGAAAGCAGGGGAUCUUCGGACCUUGCGCGAUUGAAUGAGCCGAUGUCGGAUUAGCUAGUUGGCGGGGUAAAGGCCCACCAAGGCGACGAUCCGUAGCUGGUCUGAGAGGGUGAUCAGCCACACUGGAACUGAGACACGGCCCAGACUCCUACGGGAGGCAGCAGUGGGGAAUAUUGGACAAUGGGCGCAAGCCUGAUCCAGCCAUACCGCGUGGGUGAAGAAGGCCUUCGGGUUGUAAAGCCCUUUUGUUGGGAAAGAAAAGCAGCAGGUUAAUACCCCGCUGUUCUGACGGUACCCAAAGAAUAAGCACCGGCGAACUUCGU
rnacentral:rRNA from 1 species